rnacentral:lncRNA from 1 species
GUGAACAAUUGUGCGCACACUUCUGUGCCAUUUUUCUUACAGGUUCUCAUUUUGUUAUUUAAAAAGAUAUCUACUGUGUUUGAGCAACGAGUACUGUGAUAAUCAUGCAGACAAUUUCCAAAAGUACCAUCGAUUGGUUGAAAUAUGGAAGGCAUUAUAAGAAAUAAAACCAUGAUUAAUUGGGCCCGACAUGGUGAUGCGUGACUCAGGAG